CUUCACCGAACCCAGCCACAACGGACGCCCCUCCGCACGGUCCCGCCCGUACGUCGCCAGCAGCGCCUGGGCCUC
rnacentral:antisense_RNA from 4 species